ACUUAAGUAGUUUAAAUAAAAUAUCGAUUUGUGGUGUCGGUGAUAUAGUUAUCUAUCUUGGGUU
rnacentral:tRNA from 1 species